rnacentral:tRNA from 1 species
GGCGGGUUUUCGAGUGGUCUCGACGCGAGUCUUUGAAACUCGUAGAGCAGAGUUCGAUUCUCUGGCCCGCUGCCA